UUUCCGUAGGUAAGUUUAAACUCUACAAUACUCUUGUUAUCGAAAAAAGCUAAUGUGGCCUAGGUGAACCUGCGGAAGGAUCAUUACAGAAAUUGGCUCCGGCCAUUUCCAACCCUUGCAUAAUCUCCUGUUGCUUCGGCGCUCCGGCGCCGACGCCUUUACAAACUCUUAAAUUGAUGUGUCUGAAAAACAUAUAAUAUAUCAAAACUUUCAACAACGGAUCUCUUGGUUCUGGCAUCGAUGAAGAACGCAGC
rnacentral:misc_RNA from 1 species